rnacentral:rRNA from 1 species
AAUAGCCUGGCCAGCUUUCACUGGUCAUUGGCUUCUUAGAGGGACUGUCAGCGUCUAGCUGACAGAAGUUUGAGGCAAUAACAGGUCUGUGAUGCCCUUAGAUGUUCUGGGCCACACGCAUGCUACACUGACAGAGCCAGUGAGUCCUUUUCCUUGGCUGGAAGGUCAUG